rnacentral:rRNA from 1 species
UAGGGAAUCUUCGGCAAUGGACGAAAGUUCUUGACCGAGCAACCCCGCGUGAGUGAAGAAGGUUUUCGGAUCGUAAAGCUCUGUUGUAAGAGAAGAACGGGUGUGAGAGUGGAAAGUUCACACUGUGACGGUAUCUUACCAGAAAGGGACGGCUAACUACGUGCCAGCAGCCGCGGUAAUACGUAGGUCCCGAGCGUUGUCCGGAUUUAUUGGGCGUAAAGCGAGCGCAGGCGGUUAGAUAAGUCUGAAGUUAAAGGCUGUGGCUUAACCAUAGUACGCUUUGGAAACUGUUUAACUUGAGUGCAGAAGGGGAGAGUGGAAUUCCAUGUGUAGCGGUGAAAUGCGUAGAUAUAUGAAGGAACACCGGUGGCGAAAGCGGCUCUCUGGUCUGUAACUGACGCUGAGGCUCGAAAGCGUGGGGAGCGAACAGGAUUAGAUACCCUGGUAGUCCACGCCGUAAACGAUGAGUGCUAGGUGUUAGGCCCUUUCCGGGGCUUAGUGCCGCAGCUAACGCAUUAAGCACUCCGCCUGGGGAGUACGACCGCAAGGUUG